AUUGUCAGAAUGAAGCCAGUAUUGGUACCAAAAAGCUGUCCACAACUAAGGUGCCAAAAUGGAAAGGGCCCUCUCAUGUGCUCCCAUGAAGUAUUGCUCCCUUGUUAGGCCACAGAGGAGGAGUAAUCCAGCUGAUCUAAAUUGCAGGAGAUCCUGCGUUAGUCUGCUGGAGCGAAAACAACAAAGAAACUACACCUGGAAAAUGAACAAAAGUAUCCUUCCAUUGACAGACCUUGAAUAUCUACUUUUGUUAAUUGAAUACACAACAGCAAUUAGAUGCUGUAUUAUGUUGUAAGCCACCAUAUAUUCCAGUCUUGGAAGAACAGUGGGAUACCAAAUAAAUGCAUUCCCAAGUCAGUACAAGGUCACCACUGAAUAUGCUCCCUUUAGGAAUGGGUAAAAUGUAUUUUCAUUUGGAGGUUUGAAGAUAGAUCAGUAGAAACUUUCUGGACCAUUUGUACCUUCUGAAGUCCAGAAUCUAAAACUGUUAAGCAGCUGUUGAU
rnacentral:lncRNA from 11 species